UCAUCCUUCUCUUUCUCACCAAGACGGACCUCCUCUCCUGUCUGAGAUUUGUACCCAAGUGAGCAGCUGUACUGAAGAGCAUCGAAUGCUUUGAAGUGCUCUAUCUAUCCUGACAUCACAAGUGCUCUGACAUUAGAAGUUGGCUUUAUCCGAAGACUUUGUGUUCAAUUGCUUGGUGCCUUUUGAUUCGUCGAUCAUUGAGAAGUUUUCACUCGGAGCAAGAAAGGUAUGUGACGCAGUCAUCCCUUUGACAUGGCCACUGAGCAAGCUUAAAUUAUGCAAAACUACUGCUCUUGUGAUGUUGUUUUUCUCUGCCUAGUAUUGAAAGUGGUCUUAUUUUAGUAUAUGAGAAAACUGAUGCUCUUAAUUAUGUACUUAGAUGUUACAAUAGAAAU